UACGGAGGGAGCUAGCGUUAUCCGGAAUCACUGGGCGUAAAGCGCACGUAGGCGGCUUUGUAAGUAAGAGGUGAAAGCCCAGAGCUCAACUCUGGAAUUGCCUUUUAGACUGCAUCGCUUGAAUCAUGGAGAGGUCAGUGGAAUUCCGAGUGUAGAGGUGAAAUUCGUAGAUAUUCGGAAGAACACCAGUGGCGAAGGCGGCUGACUGGACAUGUAUUGACGCUGAGGUGCGAAAGCGUGGGGAGCAAACAGG
rnacentral:rRNA from 1 species